rnacentral:tRNA from 1 species
GAGAUUUUAGUAAAAUAAUUACAUAACCUUGUCAAAGGUUAAAUUAUAGGUUCAAACCCUAUAUAUCUCC